rnacentral:tRNA from 1 species
GCGGCCAUCGUUCAAGAGCAGGACCCCUGGCUUCCAACCAGGAGAUGCCGGUGCGAUUCCGGCUGGCCGCUCCA